GACGAACGCUGGCGGUGUGCUUCACACAUGCAAGUCGAACGAGUGGCGGACGGGUGAGUAACGCGUGGGAAUCUGCCUUUAGAUGGGGGAUAACGAGCCGAAAGGUUCGCUAAUACCGCAUAAGAGAUGAGCCCGCGUCCGAUUAGCUAGUUGGUAGGGUAAAGGCCUACCAAGGCGACGAUCGGUAGCUGGUCUGAGAGGAUGAUCAGCCACAAUGGGACUGAGACACGGCCCAGACUCCUACGGGAGUCAGCAGUGGGGAAUAUUGCACAAUGGGCGCAAGCCUGAUGCAGCCAUGCCGCGUGUGUGAAGAAGGCCUUCGGGUUGUAAAGCACUUUCAGCGAGGAGGCGUUACUCGCAGAAGAAGCACCGGCUAACUCCGUGCCAGCAGCCGCGGUAAUAC
rnacentral:rRNA from 1 species